GCUUAACAUGCAAGUCGAACGAUGAACCACUUCGGUGGGGAUUAGUGGCGAACGGGUGAGUAACACGUGGGCAAUCUGCCCUGCACUCUGGGACAAGCCCUGGAAACGGGGUCUAAUACCGGAUACUGACCCUCACGGGCAUCUGUGAGGUUCGAAAGCUCCGGCGGUGCAGGAUGAGCCCGCGGCCUAUCAGCUUGUUGGUGAGGUAAUGGCUCACCAAGGCGACGACGGGUAGCCGGCCUGAGAGGGCGACCGGCCACACUGGGACUGAGACACGGCCCAGACUCCUACGGGAGGCAGCAGUGGGGAAUAUUGCACAAUGGGCGAAAGCCUGAUGCAGCGACGCCGCGUGAGGGAUGACGGCCUUCGGGUUGUAAACCUCUUUCAGCAGGGAAGAAGCGAAAGUGACGGUACCUGCAGAAGAAGCGCCGGCUAACUACGUGCCAGCAGCCGCGGUAAUACGUAGGGCGCGAGCGUUGUCCGGAAUUAUUGGGCGUAAAGAGCUCGUAGGCGGCUUGUCACGUCGGUUGUGAAAGCCCGGGGCUUAACCCCGGGUCUGCAGUCGAUACGGGCAGGCUAGAGUUCGGUAGGGGAGAUCGGAAUUCCUGGUGUAGCGGUGAAAUGCGCAGAUAUCAGGAGGAACACCGGUGGCGAAGGCGGAUCUCUGGGCCGAUACUGACGCUGAGGAGCGAAAGCGUGGGGAGCGAACAGGAUUAGAUACCCUGGUAGUCCACGCCGUAAACGGUGGGCACUAGGUGUGGGCGACAUUCCACGUCGUCCGUGCCGCAGCUAACGCAUUAAGUG
rnacentral:rRNA from 2 species